GACGAACGCUGGCGGCGUGCUUAACACAUGCAAGUCGAACGGUAAGGCCUUUCGGGGUACACGAGUGGCGAACGGGUGAGUAACACGUGGGUGAUCUGCGCUGCACUUCGGGAUAAGCCCGGGAAACUGGGUCUAAUACCGGAUAGGACUGCGCGGUGCAUGCCGUGUGGUGGAAAGAUUUAUCGGUGCAGGAUGGGCCCGCGGCCUAUCAGCUUGUUGGUGGGGUAAUGGCCUACCAAGGCGACGACGGGUAGCCGGCCUGAGAGGGCGACCGGCCACACUGGGACUGAGACACGGCCCAGACUCCUACGGGAGGCAGCAGUGGGGAAUAUUGCACAAUGGGCGCAAGCCUGAUGCAGCGACGCCGCGUGAGGGAUGACGGCCUUCGGGUUGUAAACCUCUUUCAGCAGGGACGAAGCGUGAGUGACGGUACCUGCAGAAGAAGCACCGGCCAACUACGUG
rnacentral:rRNA from 1 species